rnacentral:tRNA from 1 species
GCGGACGUGGUGGAAUUGGUAGACACGCCAGACUUAGGAUCUGGUGCCGCAAGGUGUGGAGGUUCAAGUCCUCUCGUCCGCACCA